rnacentral:rRNA from 1 species
CCUACGAGCGGCAGCAGUGAGGAAUAUUGGUCAAUGGACGCAAGUCUGAACCAGCCAUGCCGCGUGCAGGAAGACGGCUCUAUGAGUUGUAAACUGCUUUUGUACGAGGGUAAACGCAGAUACGCGUAUCUGUCUGAAAGUAUCGUACGAAAAAGGAUCGGCUAACUCCGUGCCAGCAGCCGCUGUAAUACGGAGGAUUCAAGCGUUAUCCGGAUUUAUUGGGUUUAAAGGGUGCGUAGGCGGUCGGAUAAGUUAGAGGUGAAAUCCCGAGGCUCAACUUCGGAAUUGCCUCUGAGACUGUUCGGCUAGAGAGUAGUUGCGGUAGGCGGAAUGUAUGGUGUAGCGGUGAAAUGCUUAGAGAUCAUACAGAACACCGAUUGCGAAGGCAGCUUACCAAGCUACUUCUGACGUUGAGGCACGAAAGCGUGGGGAGCAAACAGGAUUAGAUAACCCAGUAGUC